ACUGCUGCCCGUGGGAGGGACUCAUGUUGCAGCAGUUUUGGGAGGACUGCUGCUCGUGAGAUUGGAACCAGGCUGGAGGAGUUCACGGAGAACUGUCUCCUGUGGGAGGGACCCCGCAGCCUCAAAUAGAAAGGACUCCUCUUCCCGAGCAGUGGAAGAACUCAGGAGACUUAACCACAGGCAUGUGAUCCAUGUACAUGAACUGAGAUCUAGAUCAGGAUGUCAUGGGCUCAGAAGGCAUCACCUCUGGAGACACCAACACCAAUUUGGCACCUGCUUUGCAGCUCAGUGGCCAGAGCUGAAACCCUGAUGCAGUUUAAUGAACUCCAGAGCAAGGACCUGUAAUCAGGCUGCCAACAUGACAUACACCAAAGCCCGUUGCACGGUUGAUUGCUCUGAGGGACCAGGAUGGAUAUGGGCAUCUCCUCUAGGAGACACUGUCCACAAGAACUACAGAGAUCCACAAGCAGCUCCUCCUCCCAAAGCCAGGGGGUGAAUGUUACACAUGAGUCUGGCUGCAGCCCAGGAACUGCUGCAUGGAAAGGAGAUAUUGGCCAGAUCGGAUUUUGGUUUAGAAGAUUAUAGGAGAGUUUGAGACUGGCUCUGAAACAGCCAAUGCAGCCAGGACAUGCAGCACACAGCUCAGUGCAAUUCAAUUCCUUUGAUAUGAGCAACUGAAAACUUUAGGUCUGGUGUCAUGAUCCAAUUAUUAAGGUUCUUUAGAAAUUCCUCUGCCCAAAUUAAGGUGCAAAUGAGACCACAUGCCAGUG